rnacentral:rRNA from 1 species
GAUGAACGCUGGCGGCGUGCCUAAUACAUGCAAGUCGAGCGAACGGACGAGAAGCUUGCUUCUCUGAUGUUAGCGGCGGACGGGUGAGUAACACGUGGAUAACCUACCUAUAAGACUGGGAUAACUUCGGGAAACCGUAGCUAAUACCGGAUAAUAUUUUGCACCGCAUGGUUCAAAAGUGAAAGACGGUCUUGCUGUCACUUAUAGAUGGAUCCGCGCUGCAUUAGCUAGUUGGUAAGGUAACGGCUUACCAAGGCAACGAUGCAUAGCCGACCUGAGAGGGUGGUCGGCCACACGGGAACUGAGACAGGGCCCAGACUCCUGCGGGGAGCAGCAGUAGGGAAUCUUCCGGGAUGGGCGAAAGCCGAACGGAGCAACGCCGCGUGAGGGAUGAAGGUCUUCGGAUCGGAAAACUCUGUUAUUAGGAAAGAACAAAUGUGUAAGUAACGGUGCACAUCUUGACGGUACCUAAUCAGAAAGCCACGGCUAACUACGUG